AUACGUAGGUGGCAAGCGUUGUCCGGAUUUACUGGGUGUAAAGGGUGCGUAGGCGGGGCAGCAAGUUGGAUGUGAAAUCCUCGGGCUCAACUCGAGAACUGCAUUCAAAACUGUUGCUCUUGAGUGCAGUAGAGGCAAGCGGAAUUCCCGGUGUAGCGGUGAAAUGCGCAGAGAUCGGGAGGAACACCAGUGGCGAAGGCGGCUUGCUGGGAUGUUACUGACGCUGAGGCACGAAAGCAUGGGUAGCAAACAGGAUUAGAUACCCUGGUAGUCCAUGCUGUAAACGAUGAUUACUAGGCGUGGGUGGACUGACCCCAUCCGUGCCGGAGUUAACACAUUAAGUAAUCCACCUGGGGAGUACGGCCGCAAGGUUGAAACUCAAAUGAAUUGACGGGG
rnacentral:rRNA from 1 species